UUUACGAUGUUUAACCAAGGUCACAGAAACCAGCACCAGCAAUCCAUCAUGGCAUUCAUCUGUGAUGAGAAGAGACCAGCCAGUUUCUUCCUGGAAAAGACCCUUCCAAUGAUGGUAGAAAGCGGGCUAGUUAGUCAAUACUUCUUACCCCCAAAUAAAACAUGGGAGCCUGCAUUAGCCACCCACAUACAAAGCAAGACUUCACCAAUUAAAGGUUCUACAUCCUUCUGAAACAGCAUCGUCAGCUAAGGACCAAAUAUACAAACAUCAAACAGAAAAGAAGAAGAAAUAGAAGCAACCAAGCUACUUUUGGGAGAUAGGAGUCAGCACACAGAAGUGACAACCUCCAACAAAUCAUGUAUCCUUUUUGAAUAACGCCAAUUUUGAUCCACAUGUUCCUUCAAACUGAAAUAGGACACAGCUUUCCCUACUACUGGGUCUCUGA